AUAGAAUUAUUGCUGCGGUUAAAAAGCUCGUAGUUGGAUCUGUGCAGUGGGUGUCGGUCGCACCUUCGGGUGCGUACUGGCUACUCCUGCUUUCACUGUCGGUUUGUCCCAUCGUAGCCUUAAUUGGUUGCGGCGGGUGGCUGUCGAUUUUACUUUGAACAAAUCAGAGUGCUUAAUACAGGCGUUUCGCUUGAAUGUUCUUGCAUGGAAUAAUAGAAAAGGAUUUCGGUUCUAUUUUAUUGGUUUUUGGAGCUGAGAUAAUGGUUAACAGAGACAAACGGGGGCAUUCGUACCGCUGCGUGAGAGGUGAAAUUCUUGGACCGCAGCGAGACGAACUACAG
rnacentral:rRNA from 1 species